rnacentral:lncRNA from 1 species
GGUAAAUACAAGCAACAAAGAAUUAAACAGCAGCAGUAAAAUAGCAAUGUGGAGGCUAUAUACAGGGUGUACCGGUACAGAGUCAAUGUGGAGACUAUAUACAGGGUAUUACGGUACAGAGUCAAUGUGGAGGCUAUAUACAGGGGUACCGGUACAGAGUCAAUGUGGAGGCUAUAUACAGGGGGGUACCGGUACAGAGUCAAUGUGGAGGCUAUAUACAGGGUAUUACGGUACAGAGUCAAUGUGGAGGCUAUAUACAAGGGGUACCGGUACAGAGUCAAUGUGGAGGCUAUAUACAGGGGGUACCAGUACAGAGUCAAUGUGGAGGCUAUAUACAAGGGGUACCGGUACAGAGUCAAUGUGGAGGCUCUAUACAGGGGGUACCAGUACAGAGUCAAUGUGGAGGCUAUAUACAGGGGUACCGGUACAGAGUCAAUGUGGGGGCUAUAUACAGGGGGUACCAGUACAGAGUCAAUGUGGAGGCUAUAUACAGGGGGUACCAGUACAGAGUCAAUGUGGAGGCUAUAUACAGGGGGGUACCAGUACAGAGUCAAUGUGGAGGCUAUAUACAGGGGGUACCAGUACAGAGUCAAUGUGGAGGCUAUAUACAGGAGGUACCGGUACAGAGUCAAUGUGGAGGCUAUAUACAGGGG